GGUCCUGUCGCUCAGUUGGUUAGAGUGUUGGUCUUAUGAACCGAAGGUCGCGGGUUAGAGCCCGCCGGGACCA